GUGGGGAAUAUUGCACAAUGGGGGGAACCCUGAUGCAGCAACGCCGCGUGAGUGAAGAAGUAUCUCGGUACGUAAAGCUCUAUCAGCAGGGAAGAAAAAAAGUCCUUUGGACUUUGGACGGUACCUGAUUAAGAAGCCCCGGCUAACUACGUGCCAGCAGCCGCGGUAAUACGUAGGGGGCAAGCGUUAUCCGGAUUUACUGGGUGUAAAGGGAGCGUAGACGGCAAUGCAAGUCUGGAGUGAAAUGCCAGGGCUUAACCCUGGAACUGCUCUGGAAACUGUAGAGCUAGAGUGCAGGAGAGGUAAGUGGAAUUCCUAGUGUAGCGGUGAAAUGCGUAGAUAUUAGGAGGAACACCGGUGGCGAAGGCGGCUUACUGGACUGUAACUGACGUUGAGGCUCGAAAGCGUGGGGAGCAAACAGGA
rnacentral:rRNA from 1 species